rnacentral:rRNA from 1 species
AUUGAACGCUGGCGGCAUGCUUUACACAUGCAAGUCGAACGGUAACAGGCCGCAAGGUGCUGACGAGUGGCGAACGGGUGAGUAAUGCAUCGGAACGUGCCCAGUCGUGGGGGAUAACGCAGCGAAAGCUGCGCUAAUACCGCAUACGAUCUGUGGAUGAAAGCGGGGGACCGAAAGGCCUCGCGCGAUUGGAGCGGCCGAUGUCAGAUUAGGUAGUUGGUGGGGGAAAGGCCCACCAAGCCAACGAUCUGUAGCUGGUCUGAGAGGACGAACAGCCACACUGGGACUGAGACACGGCCCAGACUCCUACGGGAGGCAGCAGUGGGGAAUUUUGGACAAUGGGCGCAAGCCUGAUCCAGCAAUGCCGCGUGCAGGAAGAAGGCCUUCGGGUUAUAAACUGCUUUUGUACGGAACGAAACGGUCCGGGUUAAUACCCUGGGCUAAUGACGGUACCGUAAGAAUAAGCACCGGCUAACUACGUGCCAGCAGCCGCAGUAACAC